GGCCAGGGGGAAGCAAAAGAUAUAGACUAAAACAUAUAGUAUGGGCAAGCAGAGAACUAGAACGAUAUGCACUUAAUCCUGGCC
rfam:HIV-1 isolate 98TG57132 from Tganda, partial genome.